rnacentral:lncRNA from 1 species
UUAUAGGUCAAUUCUGCAAAAAGCCCUUUAUUUAAUACUCUCACUAAUUUUAUUUGGAUAAAAAAGAAAAAGAAGAAGAAGAAGAUAAAAAUAGUAUUACAUAUCACCAAAAUUGUAUAAGACAUCAACUUCAUCACAAUCCUUAAAUACUAAACCAUGUCCCAUCCCCAUCUCCAACCCCUAAAUAAUAAAUCCUAAACCAUAAUCAUUAAACCCUAAACCCAAAUAUAAAUCAUAAACCCAAAUAUAAGCCUUCAACCCAAAUAGAAUGAAAUAAAAUAAAUAACAUAAUACAUAUUGGUGAAAUUAUGAAAUAUCUAUGAUAUCAUGGAAGAAUUUAAUAUCCCAAUCUUAUCCUCACCUUCUAAAUUCUAAACCCUAAACCUAAAU